rnacentral:rRNA from 1 species
GACGAACGCUGGCGGCGUGCUUAACACAUGCAAGCCGAGCGGUAAGGCCCUUUCGGGGGUACACGAGCGGCGAACGGGUGAGUAACACGUGGGUGACCUGCCCUCAGCUCUGGGAUAAGCCUGGGAAACCGGGUCUAAUACUGGAUAUGACUCCAUGACGCAUGUUGUGGGGUGGAAAGCCUUGUGCGGCUGAGGAUGGGCCCGCGGCCUAUCAGCUUGUUGGUGGGGUGANGGCCUACCAAGGCGACGACGGGUAGCCGGCCUGAGAGGGCGACCGGCCACACUGGGACUGAGACACGGCCCAGACUCCUACGGGAGGCAGCAGUGGGGAAUCUUGCGCAAUGGGCGAAAGCCUGACGCAGCGACGCCGCGUGAGGGAUGACGGCCUCGGUU